rnacentral:misc_RNA from 1 species
UACACUAUUUUCAUAUAUUACAAGCAUUUAUUUCAUAUUUAUUGCCGUAUGGACAAAAAGGACCUUUCUUUUCAGAACUGUUGCAAUAAAUACACAACUGUGAAUCUUUUCUUAUCUCUUGUUUCCAGAAGGUAGCUCCCCAGCAGUUCCCAGUAACCUUGGGGUACUUGAAUCAUUCUCAGAUUUCCGCGGGGUUUGCCCAGGCUUGCUUUGGCCUCCAGCUGCCUUGUUAACUGUCAACCUCCGACUUGAUGGAGCUCG